AGUGAACGCUGGCGGCAGGCCUAAUACAUGCAAGUCGAACGGCAGCACAGCAGAGCUUGCUCUGUGGGUGGCGAGUGGCGGACGGGUGAGGAAUACAUGGGAAUCUGCCCAGUCGUGGGGGAUAACGUAGGGAAACUUACGCUAAUACCGCAUGCGCCCUUCGGGGGAAAGCCGGGGACCUUCGGGCCUGGCGCGAUUGGAUGAGCCCAUGUCGGAUUAGCUAGUUGGCGGGGUAAUGGCCCACCAAGGCGACGAUCCGUAGCUGGUCUGAGAGGAUGAUCAGCCACACUGGAACUGAGACACGGUCCAGACUCCUACGGGAGGCAGCAGUAGGGAAUAUUGGACAAUGGGCGCAAGCCUGAUCCAGCCAUGCCGCGUGAGUGAAGAAGGCCCUCGGGUUGUAAAGCUCUUUUGUCCGGAAAGAAAAGCAUCCAGUUAAUACCUGGGUGUCCUGACGGUACCGGAAGAAUAAGCACCGGCUAACUUCGUGCCAGCAGCCGCGGUAAUAC
rnacentral:rRNA from 1 species